UGAGCGGAGCUCGGUCGCCUGACAACAGGCCGGAAGGAAUGUAUGUGUACGGAAGGCAGUGCGGGUCAAGCAGCGUUCUCAGUUGGGUCUCACUAAAUCGAAGUGGAAGAGAGUGUUGGGGUUGUGAGAAACAGAAAGAAGGUUGUAACAGAAAAAAAUUGUGAAAAACACUUCUGAUAAGAAAUGUCAUCGGCUCAGAAGACAAGCUGCUGUAAGGUGAGAUGACUCCAGAUCCAUACUGAUGCCCUCUGAAAUGGCCCAGCAAGCCACAAAAGACAGUUCAUGACAACCUUCUGACAGGUCAGAGAUAAGUUAGCCUUAACAAUGAUGACAGCCAUAUCCCUUGAA